CCCUUGCUGGGUUGCUGGCCAGGAUUCCUGGUUUUCAUCCAGGCUACCCAGGUUCAAGUCCUGGGCAGGGAA
rnacentral:tRNA from 1 species